rnacentral:rRNA from 1 species
UACGUAGGCAGCAAGCGUUGUUCGGAGUUACUGGGCGUAAAGGGUGUGUAGGCGGUUCUUUAAGUUUGGUGUGAAAUCUCCCGGCUCAACUGGGGAGGGUGCGCCGAAUACUGAGGGACUUCGAGUGCGGGGAGAGGAAAGUGGAAUUCCUGGUGUAGCGGUGAAAUGCGUAGAUAUCAGGAGGAACACCGGUGGUGUAGACGGCUUUCUGGACCGUAACUGACGCUGAGACACGAAAGCGUGGGUAGCAAACAGG